AUUGAACGCUGGCGGCAUGCCUUACACAUGCAAGUCGAACGGCAGCAUGAUCUAGCUUGCUAGAUUGAUGGCGAGUGGUGAACGGGUGAGUAAUACAUCGGAACGUGCCCUGUAGUGGGGGAUAACUAGUCGAAAGAUUAGCUAAUACCGCAUACGACCUGAGGGUGAAAGUGGGGGACCGCAAGGCCUCAUGCUAUAGGAGCGGCCGAUGUCUGAUUAGCUAGUUGGUGAGGUAAAGGCUCACCAAGGCGACGAUCAGUAGCUGGUCUGAGAGGACGAUCAGCACACUGGGACUGAGACACGGCCCAGACUCCUACGGGAGGCAGCAGUGGGGAAUUUUGGACAAUGGGCGAAAGCCUGAUCCAGCAAUGCCGCGUGUGUGAAGAAGGCCUUCGGGUUGUAAAGCACUUUUGUCCGGAAAGAAAUGGCUCUGGUUAAUACCUGGGGUCGAUGACGGUACCGGAAGAAUAAGGACCGGCUAACUACGUG
rnacentral:rRNA from 1 species